UGCGUAGGCGGAUUGGCAAGUCAGAAGUGAAAUCCAUGGGCUUAACCCAUGAACUGCUUUUGAAACUGUUAGUCUUGAGUGAAGUAGAGGUAGGCAGAAUUCCCGGUGUAGCGGUGAAAUGCGUAGAGAUCGGGAGGAACACCAGUGGCGAAGGCGGCCUACUGGGCUUUAACUGACGCUGAGGCACGAAAGUGUGGGUAGCAAACA
rnacentral:rRNA from 1 species